UGUUGCAACUAGGGGUAUCGAUACAAAUGCGGUAAUCUUUGAUCGGUCAUCUGGUCAAAUCUUGUGCACGCUUACUGGUCACUCAAAGAAGAUAACCGCUUUGAAGUUUGUUCCACGGGAUCAACUCUUUGUAACUGGAUCAGCAGAUAAGGCAAUUUCCAUUUACCAUAGGUUUAGGUAACCACUGGAAUAAUAUGGGGGGUGCGAGGGAUUGCUCGUGGUUUUGCUCGUGCAUCUCUAGCGUAGUCCGCAUCUCGUGCUACUACCUACCUGUUUCUGUUGAUGCAUCUCUAUGUGAUUGUAACAACCAAGAAGCAUAUGUGGCCUCUAUUUAAUCCACCAUAAAAGAAGUAUUUGGCGCGUUGGCCCUAUUUCUUUUCCGGUGAUCAAGUACACUUGCAAUAUCAGAAAUGGUGCUUUCAACUGUUCCCUUUUUAAAUUUAUGUCCUAUUUUUUGUGUUACAAAAUCAUGUUUCUGUUUUCAUUUUACUCAAUCGGAUUGCAGCUAAUACAUUUUUUGUUCAAACUCAUUAUGUUUUCAUGUUUGCAUUUUCCUAUAUUUUUUGCCUUUGUAGAACAUAUACUAUGGAAUUGAGAUGUUUGGUUCUACAUAUAGAGUGUAGGCAUUGAAUAAAAUCAGGUCUGCAUACUUAUUUUUGUGCAAUCAAAGUAGCUGUUAGCGGGUUCCUAGAAUGACAAUGUUGGUUUGGUUGAGAAGGAUCUUGGAAAUCAGAAAGUCUUGCUCUCAGGCAUCAAUCUCGAUGAGGAUGCAAAACCAAGAGGGGACAACUGUGAACAGUGGUCAUUGUUCGUCGGCACUGCUCAAGCAUCAUUGACGUUGGCGCUGGCCUCCUCUGUACAAGGCCAGGGACACCGUUGUAAUAGAGUUGUUGAUAUCGAUGUCGUCCGUGAACUGACUGUCGAGAAGGCCUCCGUGGAUACCUAAGGCAUGCAGCUCCUCAUUACUUUGGUGUACUGACCCCAAGGCCGGUGCUGUUGACCCCAAGGCCGAGAACAAGGUGCUAGAUUGAAGAUGGCGCAGAACAUUGCCAUCUCGCUGCUCGUGCUGAAUGUGAUCAAGAAGAGGUCUGCAACGUGCUCUGUGAUGGCUAUAGAGAAGAUAAAAUCUGCCAGGAAUAAAUCAUCGCAAGGAAGGUGAGUAUCUCUUGGCAUCUUGUACAAACUACAAAGUGCAGUUGCCACCACAUCAGCACCACUGCAACGGAAAGUACCUCCAGAAAAUGUGACCCCAACUUUCAUGAUUAUAUGUUAUUCUUAGCCUUCUCUGUAGUCAUCAAUUCUAGAUAGGGCAUCUCAGUCUAUGCAGGCCAGGUAGCAAUUAGGUCAAUAGAAGCUGUAUCUUACAAGCAUGUCCUCGAGACACAUGGCAGCACUUUUUCAUUUAAAGUCAUAUGUUACUCAUCUAAAUGCACUAUAGGGUUGUUCUUCUGCAUGCCAGUUGUGUUUGAAGAGAUUGUGUAAACAAAACUUAAUUAUUAUGGUUGUUAGUUCUUAGUUCAUGUCUGUACAACUUCCUCCUGUUCUUUAAAGCAUAUAUGUUGCAAACUUUAAGGCGGUUAUGUUGCUGUUUUGCACUUUGCCCGGUAAUGUGCUUGAUCCAAUGGUCGAGCUCAGUGCUUGUGCAAAGCACACAUGCUGUCCACGGGAAUAGUCACCACAAACGGUUGCAAGUGGAAACCAAAACCUUGU